CAGAAGGAAGAACAGGGGUGAUGAUAUAGAGGCAAAUGCAUCCUUGAUGUCAGGAAAAAUGUCCUCAUAAUUAUAGCCAUCCCAAAAUGGAAUGAGCUGCCUUGGGAGGGCAUCAGAGGUCUUCAAGAAGAGGUCAGAUGAUCACUCAUCAGUCUUUGACAAGCUGCCGAAGUAGUCUAUGACAGCAGAAAGGAUAACCUCUCCAUCGAGCCAUACUGUGUCAUCUUCAAGGAGCCCCAAAAUCAGAAUGUUCCAAUCACAUCCCACUGAACGUGCUGAGGGUCCUGAGGCCCGAGCAGAAGCUCAGGGGAGCCAACCUGUGCCCUUCCCACUAUGGACACACCAGAAUACCUGUUGAGGUCUGUCCAAGAGCUACGGCCGCCCACCAGUCUGUGCUUUGGAGCCUCAGAAGGGAGGACAGACGCAGUCUUAAAGAGGACAUCUCUCAGCUGAGAGAGCCGUCAAGGAAGGCCUGAUGCCUGGCUACAACAUCAACAUAGAAGGGUAUUGAGAGGAACAAGAAAUGAUGACCAAGAAGCUUCAUCAAAGAAAGCAUGGACCAAUAAAGUCUCAGGACAGCUUUAUUACCUUUCAGGGAAAAUUAUCCUUAUUAUAAAGACAUGGAGAAUUCUGGUUCCUUCCUUCAUACGUCAAUACCCAGGAAAGGACAGGCGAAUGGACUGUUGAGAGCCACCCACCCAAGCCAAGUAGUUGAAAGCCUGGGUAGUCUGACAGCCUGUAAAAUAACCCUGAAGAAAAGAUCGGGGCCCUACAAAGAUGCUACACCACAAACACCUAGUGUCCAUGUGGGAAUUAGUCAGACUCUUUCCCGAAGGGGGGAGUGGGAGAGUCCAAAACAAUAGAAAAUAGAAGAAGCAGGGUCCAAGAAAGGGCCAUUUCCAAUUCACUAGUGGACAUUUGAUACCCAUAUGAGGAGAAUCUGGGUCAAGAUCCACAUGGAGAGAAAGCUGUAGACUGGGAUCUUCUUGGGACCAGAGAAGAGGGGAGGUAGGAAAGCUACCUACUGGUAGCUGGUGGCCCGAAGGACAACUCUUCCAGGACUCAUGGGAGGGUUAGAGCCAAAAAUCACCUUUCCCUGCCUGAUACACCAGCUGUGGAGGUCCUAAGGGGCAGAAGGUACCAAAAGAGCCUGGGCCUUAGUGACAAUCUACCUGGGCCAUACACAGAACCAGAAUAAAGACUGGAGACCAAUGGUCUAAUGUU